rnacentral:rRNA from 1 species
UACGUAGGGGGCAAGCGUUGUCCGGAAUCAUUGGGCGUAAAGCGCGCGUAGGCGGCCCUGUAAGUCCGUUGUGAAAGUCGAAGGCUCAACCUUCGAAAGCCGAUGGAUACUGCAGGGCUAGAGUCCGGAAGAGGCGAGUGGAAUUCCUGGUGUAGCGGUGGAAUGCGCAGAUAUCAGGAGGAACACCGAUUGCGAAGGCAGCUCGCUGGGACGUAACUGACGCUGAGACGCGAAAGCGUGGGGAGCAAACAGG